ACCACUUUCUAAGACAAGAAGAAGCCGGAAAGUUUCAAGCCAGAGAGCCGUUCGCCUCAGUCAGCCCGGUCCUACUCUUCAGUCUCAUCUCGCUGGAAUAGUGUUGUCAUGUGUGAAGAUAUACACGAAAUUGAGACUUCUGCUGCACUGUUCGAAGUCUGUAAGAUCAGUGCUGAAUUCAAAAGAAUAACCACAGUUCCCCUGCAAUCCAAGCAACUGUUGCUGAAUUGGCUGAUUUGUACAAGAUGCACCAUUUCUGAGGACUUCUGGCACAGUGGCCUGCACUGUUCAAAGUUUGCAAGAUCAGUGCUGAAUUGAAAAGAAUCACCACAGUCCCACUGCAAUGCCCUGCACUGUUCCAAGUCCACAAGGUCAUGGAUGAAGUUGCCGUAGACGAAGCAAUUGAAGACAUCACUAUUGGAAUCUGCUCUGACAGAAGAUUGGGCAUCCCACCCUUAGGACAUUGUCAGUUUUAGUGUAUGUCUGUCACACACGUGACACCCAAUCGGAAAGGACUCUUUUUUUCAGCAACUAAAAAA